CUUUUGGUUCUAUUCAGGCCUUUAAGUGAUUGGAUGAGGAUCAUCUACUGGGGAAAGAAAUAAGCUUUAUUCAGUGUACUGAUUCAAAUGUUAAUCUCAUCCAAAACCAUGCUCACAGACACACCCAGCAUAAUGUUUGACCAAGUAUCUGGGCACCUUGUGGUUCAGUCAAAUUAACACAUAUUAACUACCUUAGCAAGAUGAAAAGCAGUGAAUGCAGGAUGGUGGUUGAAAUUUUAAAUACGUUGGUUAUAUAGUCUCAUUGAAAAAGGAACAUUUGAGUGAAGACUUGAAGGGGUGGUGGAAUAAACCAUUUAUUUGCUUAUUGCCUGUCUCCCUCUAUCAGAAUGAAAGCUUCAUGAAGCGAGAGACUUAAUUUUUAUCUGUUAUAUCCCUAGUGCCUGGUGCAGGGUAAGUACUCAAAAAUAUUUGUUGAGUGAAUAAGUAAUGAUUGAGGAUGGGGACUGGUUUGUAUCUGGUUAUAUCUCUUGUCCUUAGCACAGUACCUGGCACAUCCUAAGCCAUCCAAAAGAGUUGGUUAUAUGAUUGUCUUUGAAUUCUAUGACUGUUUAUAAUAUACAGUAAACUUCACUGAAGACACUGACUCACUUGUUUUGUUUGAUAUUGUGGCCCCAGCACUGCAGCACUUAGAACAGUGCCUAGAAAAUACAUAAUAGUUAGUGAAAAAUUGUUAUUGACCAAAUGGGCACAGAUAAGGAGACUGAGGCUCAGAAAUGUUAAAUGAGUUGAAAAUAGUCUCACAGCCAGGAAGCAACAAAGCAUGGGGCCUAACUUUGUCUUUUUAAUUCUCAAAUUACAAUAUUUCAUCUAUAUCAAACUGCUUUAAAAAUUGUCCUGGGGUCUCUCGUUUGGCCAUGGCCUUUCUUUCACCUACACCAUCUCUCUUCCUUGUCCACUCCAGGCUGUGUUGUGUGGUCAUGUCUCCCUGAGUGACAAGCAGGCUGGUUAUGUGGAGUUGUCAGCACACAAGCCUCCCAGAGGAUGGCCUUCUCCUCCAGGUGCCACAGUGUCAGGGGACACUCUCUUCCAUUAGCACAAGCAGAAGGUAAUGCAACCUUUUGGUGGCCAUCGACUUUGUCAGACAAUAGUGCCGUUCAGUUUGAAAGACUCCACUGGGAAGUCGCAGACUUUUAAAACUAAUUUGGUGUUUAUUCAACUUUGCAAUCACUUCUAUGUACUAUCUGUGUUUCACACACCAUGAAACGGUGCUAUACUGUGCAAUUGAAUUAGUUGUACAGUGACUCAAAGGCAUUAAACAAUGACUUUGAUAUUUUAAGUACUGACUAGGAGGGAUUUUUAAUUCCUUCCUCAUAAUGAAAACAGCAAAAAAAAUCCAGUUACACAACCCUGGAACACUUACUCUCUUUUCUCUUCUGGGUGGACCCCAGUGAGACAGAAAAAACCUCCGAGCACUUAAUUUGCUUCAUGGCAGGAGAAAAAUUAAACAAGCAUAGACGUGCAACCUUAAUGACACCCAGCAACACUAGAAUAACAGUUCCCAGCUUCUAAAACCUGAUAUUUAGUAUAAUGGGUAAAUCUGGUGGGAGCUUUUCAGUGCUGCUGAGUUUGAAAAAACAGCUACUUUGUGAGGAGGGGUGGGGGUAGAGGCAGGGAGAGUGUCUUGCUUGUGCUCACUUGUUAGGAGGGUCUCAGUGCAGAAGCCAAGCCAGAGGGGUGCAGGCAAAAUACAGCACUGGCAGGAGAGUCCCUGAAGGCUGUGACCCUUCUGCAGACAACAGCAUCACUAUGCUAGGCACAAAUGUGUCAGUUCUGCCAGAAACAACAUGGGACUUUUCAUACAGUGCCUUUCUGGAGAUGGUACUGACAGAAAGGAAGAAGAGAGGGGGAAAAACAAUGCAACAAAAAACGAAAACCAUAGCAAGUGAAUUAGUACCAUGAAACUAUGAGCAUUAACUGGUUAUAGUUCAGGGCAAAGCACCUCAGUGAUGAUUCACAUCUGACAAUAAAUACAGGAAUAGCUGUUGAAAGCUAGUUUGAUUUUCACAAAGAGGUUUAAACAAACUUUCGUUUGUUCAUUAGUCUUAAGCAACACAUUUAUGGCAGGGGAUGCAUUAAACCUAACAUAUGUCUGUGACCAAGGUAUUUGGUGGUUUUAAAGAUGAAGACACAAAGCCGUGCAUAUAGUUUAUGCGGAGCGGCCUUGAACUACCCGUAAUGGAGUGAGAUACAGUUAUUAUGUAUUAAUGCUGUGAAUCUUCAUCCAGAGAGAGAAAACAAACAGGCGAGAAGGAAUGCAGCAUCUUUGAAGAUAAAGACUUAGAGGGCCCCAUUCUGCAAUUGGUAUUGAGUUUGCAUAAACUCAUUUUGUUGUUGUUGUUGCUGCAUAAUUUUUAAAAUGCAACUGGUUUAAAUCUGUUCCCUGAGGUAAUUUACGCUAAAGCAGCAUUCUAACACCAUAAAUUCCCUGCUUAUGGCAAUCUCUGGUUGGGUGUCAGGUCGGUGUAAGUUACUGAGCAAAUGGCUGCUUCAAAAUUUUUAGGGUAAUUGCCUCUAUAACUCGUUUAGCAUAGGCCUUGUCAGGAAAUCUCUAAUUGUAAUUGAUGCCUCUGCUUCCUUUUCUCCUCCUGCUUUUUAACCACAUUGUUGUACUAAAAGCUUCACUCUCCAGUGCAGAAGAGCAUGGGGCUUUUCAUCUUCUGUAGCACUCGGAUUUUGUUAUUAUUAAAGCCUUCCCUCAUGAAAACGUGAUGUCACCCCCGAUGGGGUCCAGAAGGUGGUGGUUGGUUGGGUGUACCUCUGCCCCAGCCCAAUCUCUACCCUUGCCUAGGAAACCUUCAGUACAGAGAAGGUAGAUCUUGAUGGGGUUGAGAUAAAAUGAAGAGCAAGUUACCACUACUCCAAUUCUAAGUUUUGUAUGAAUGCUGGGUUGGCUGUUGAUUUCUACCAGAAUGGUGUGAGCAAAGUCAACAGCAUAUUUUUCUCUCUUCUCUCAUCUCAUGUGUAUGGGCAUGAUGCCUUGGUAGGAAGGGUAUCAUUGGAAUUGUAUAUUACAAUAUUCAUGGCCAGGAGCUUCUGUUGAUUUGUGUCUACAUACGGGGAUUUUUCAUGAAAUUGCAUAAAGCAUGUAAAGAAUCAACUCCAAAAUCCAAUUUGUUAAUUAUCUUGCUUAAAAUAUACUUCAAUUAUAUCACAUUUGACAUCGUAUGUCAUUGAUAGUAGACGGAAAUAACACUUAAAAUCAAUAAGUGUUUUUAAUUUAUUUUACUUAUUAUGCUUGUCAUAAUAUUUUGACAUGGAGUGCUGACAUGUCAACGAUGCUGUUAUCAGGAGGUAAGGCAAUGGCAUUAAACUGUCUCACCAUCUGUGCUACUGUUUCAGCAUAAAGUGGGCCCAUGGGGAAAAUAUAGCUAAAAUCUCCAAUGAAGUGUCUGCUUAUGAAGUAAAUACAGGUCAUCACUGAAUAAAGCAGCCUGAGCUCAAAACAAAACCUGAGGGAAAAAAAUCCACACUCUAAUCUAUUAUCUUUUCUCCCAAAGGAUUCAACAAUAAGAGCACUAAAAAUAUGCGAGUGCUGUCUGUGUGCCAGACUUGUGAAAAGUGUUCCACAUAUUUUAUCUCAUCUCCUCUAAGAGGUGAGGUACUUGCACAUGGCAAAACCCAGCUCUGAAUGAAAGUCUGUGUGAUUCCAUGCCUGGAUCUAUUCUCAGAAACCAAAGCCAUCACUAUUCUAUAUGGUUUGGAUAGAAAAUGGAUUCUGACUUCUGGAUCCUCUCCUGGCUAUUACAAUCCACAUCGCAGGGGGGUGAGGCACCCCCCGCGAUAUGGGGAGUCAUAGCAACCCCCUCUCCCCCCCUGGCUGUCACAAUCCACAUCGCAGGUGUGUGAGGCAACCCCUGCGAUAUGGGGAGUAAUAGGAACCCCCUCCACCUGCCCCGGCUAUCACGAUCCACAUCUCAGGGGGGUGAGGCACCCCCCGCAAUAAGGGGAGUAAUAGCAACGAUCUCUCCACCCCUAGCUAUUACGAUCCACGGUGGACUCAUAGCCUGUUUACGAUAUUCAUCUCGACAUCAUGAGAUUCUACCUUUAGGUCUUUUCUUCCGUUCUGUCCUCCAAAUCGGCCUCUUCCGAGUGUGUUGACCAGGGCCAGCCAGGCAGAAGGCUGGUUUCGCUCAAAGAGGAUCCUCUCGCCCAUCCUGGAACUUCAGGCCUGUUUCGGUUGGACCUGCAGAGAAGCCUUAGGGGCCACUUCGUUCGGCAUCCCAGGGGGCAGGUGCGCGGUACAGGGAAGAAGAGGGUUUGACUGUUGUUCUCAACCCCCGGCACCAAACCUCCACCCUGGUGCGCGCCCCUCCAGGCUCCUGCUGGUCUCAGUCGCCGGUAGUUAGGUCUCCUGUCAGCCUGAGCUCCCGAGACACCCAGCCCCGGAAGGACACGUAGGGGAAACCAGCUACUCACUUCGGUCUUGUCCGCAAGGGAUCCCUUUCUGACGGGAAAGAAAGGCGGCGAGUCCGGUCCUGUUGAGUAAGCGGAAGAGAGAUCAAGGGGAAGAGAAGAAAAAUCCUGUGAGGUUUCAAGAUCUAAAGUUACCAUGAAGUCGACCUAACCUCGUCUGGAGGUCCUCCUGUGGCUGGCGAAGGUGAGUCGAGUCCCCGUCUUCAGUUUGUCAAAGUGGACAAAGCCUACGACAAUGGCCAGUACCAGCU
rnacentral:lncRNA from 1 species